rnacentral:piRNA from 1 species
UUUGCUUUGGAUGUAUGAUAA